UAUUGUGAUUUAAGCUAAGCACCAAAUUAAAAAGACUGCCGUCUUAACAGUCUGGUCGUAAUAAAAUAAAUGAGUCCAUCGGUCUUUAAUGGAAACUCCAACAGCUGAAAUUACGUCGUGACUACUAACUGCGUCAUUUUAGUCGCUGAAGUUUCCACAUAAUUCAUAAACUCUUUCAAAGCGACAAGAUACUUUAAAUUAAAAGUAGGUGUGUGGCUAGAACGCACCGACCUAUUUAAUAACUGGAACCACAACUUAUAUAAUAAAAAGGAAACUCGCCUUUCAGCUCUCGGCACCCAUUUUAUGUAAUCCUAAGUUAUUCAUAGUUAAACUUUAAAGUGAAAUUGCUAAUCAUGUCUUGUGUUGUGUUCGGGUGCAUAACAAAUGUGUUGCUAAGAGUGAAUUUCCAUUUCAUCGAUUUCCGAAGGAUUCAGGGAGGUGCUGACAAUGGGUAAGGAACCUCAAGUUGAAGAACUUUCCUCCAAAGGAUCAUUCAAGGAUUUGUUGCCAACAUUUUGAUCCUGUGUGUUUUAAUAGAACUUUGGAUGUUAAAAGGUUAAGAGAAAACGCUGUACUUACGAUAUUCAAAGCCGUUCCCCCUCAUCUUCAAGAAGAUGUAGCUAGAACCAAUUUAAAACGCAAAUCCCCCAUGGACAGACAUUCCUCAUGCCCCAAAUUUGUGAAAACGUCUCCUGAGCCAGCCCUAGAUAUUAGGGUCCUGCAAGCUCAAAUAAUUUAGAGUAAUGUAAGAAACUCCAAUGGUAAGGAGAUAUGCUUUCCUACUUCAUCGAGAUCAAGAAAGUCCAAAUGGAAAAAAAAUAAGUUAGGUAAGAAGUUAUCAACCUUAGUUGACGUAGUCAAUGAAUUGAAGUCAAGAGAUGAAUGUCAGAAGAGGCCACAUCUAUUAUUGAAACAAUUUCGGAGGUACCUAAAAAUAUUUUGAAGAGGAGACAACUCGGAAAUAAUGGAAAGAGAGCUUGUAGCAGCUACUCCCCUGAGCUUCGAGCGUUCUCUUUGACAUUGUCAUUUUACUCCACUAAAGCCUAUAAUUAUGUAAGGAAGACAUUCAACUUUUGCUUACGAAGUCUCCAUACAAUUAGAAACUGGUAUUCUAAUGUAGAUAAUGACCCGGGAUUUACUCAAUCUUCUUUUGAUAUACUAUAAUCUAAGGCCUAUAAAGCCCAUGAGAAAGGUUUUAAAGUAUAGGUCAACAUAGACUUAACGAAAAAGAAAUUUGUGAAACUGUGCCGGCAACUGAGGUUCUUGUAUUAAUGGUUGUUUCUUUUAACUCGAAUUGGAAAGUUCCGGUGGCUCAUUUUUUUAUUCAUAGUUUGACUGGUUCCGAAAAAGCCAAUCUUGUAAAAAAAUGUCAUAAAAGACUCCUUUCUAUUAAUAUCAAAGUGAUUUCGUAAACUUUUGACGGGCUUAGUAGUCACCAAGUAAUGUUGAAAGAAUUGGGAGGUAAUUUGGAACCAGGAGAGAGAUUUUAGACCUAUUUCUUUCACCUCAGUGAUCGCCACCAAAAAGUAUUUAUGAUUUUUGACACAUGCCAUUGUAUAAAGUUAGUUAGGAAUACAUUUGCAUCUCUUAAAGUUAUGGUAGAUAAAGACGGUAGAAGAGUUGAAUAUAAGUAUCUAGAAGAAUUGGAAAAACUGCAGUCGUCAGAAGGACUACUAGCUGCAAAUAAACUAAGGAAAAAGCACAUUAACUUCCAUAAUAUGAAAAUAAAGAUAUGUGAAAAAUGUUACAAUUUUUUAAACGAAAAAAUGGUUAUUAAUUAAUUUGUUUAUUUCAACAGGUAAACAUGGCUACUCAACCCAUAAUAUAAUCUACAGCAGAUGGGAGAGAGUUCUGUACAAAGGAUAUUAUUCAAUUACUGGAGUUUAGAAACUCUGAAGGAACAGUUCAGUUUCUAAGGAGAUUUGAUAGAAUUUUUGAUUUCACCAACAGCAGCUAUUGGCAAAAGGAUUCAAAUCUCCUCUGAGAAUUGGAAAUGAAGACUAUUGGAAACCAAUCGUUUAAGAUAUGUUUUUAUAUAUUUCUGAAUUGAAGGAUGAAUAUGGUAAACCUUUGGUCAAAACGCGUAAAAGAACUGCUUUUGUUGGAGUCAUGGCAUCAAUUACUUCAAUUUGCGACAUAUUUUAUUCUCUAGUUAAAUCUAGUUAAAAGAAUGAAGUAUCUUCUAACUUACAAACUAUCUCUGGAAUCAUAUAAAUUGCCAUAAGGUCUCAUUUGGGAAGCAAUAAUAAUCCAACAUGUCCCAUGUUUUCCUCCAUUUAUAAGCACCUAUUAGUUAGGUAUCAUGUCUCUGACAGCUGAGGUGAAUGCACAAGGCUGGAGGAUAUAGGGGCGCUCUUCACUACCUCAAAGAACAAGAGGAAACCAUAAGAAGUUUUCCGAUUCCUUGAUAAUGAAGAUUUUUCAUUGAUCAAGAAGUAUGCCUGGAGGAAAAAAAUUUACUAAUUAGUGACCAUGACUACUUUGGUGUGCCUAAUUUCGUCCCAAGUCUUUCUCAAUUGAAAGAAUGUGUUGUUGCUUAUAUUGGAUAGGCUAUCAAAUCAGUCUCCAAGCAUUUAGUAUGUCCUGAGUGCUUGGAAUCUCUUUACAGCUAUGUAACGGACAGCCAUAAUUAUUCUUUGACAGCUGGAAAAUCUAAUGUGGGUCUUUUGUUUCCAUCAAAGGACGUAAUAGAUAUAUGCAAAGAAACAGAGAAAACCUUUUGAGACUAAAAAUGCAAGGAGUUCUAAAAACCAAGACAACAUUAAUUCAAAACGCUAUUAUCAGCUGCAUAUUUCUAAAAUGUAAUGACAAGUCAUAGAUAUUUAAGGAUCUUGAACCUCACACUUUCGAAUGUUCACCAUUAAAUAACCACGUUCUAAAAUUACAAAAAAAUAAAUUAUGUUCGUUUACUCUAAAAUUCGAUUGCAUCAUGAAGCAAACAACAUCUCGGAACAAUUCAAAACAGAUUUUUUCCGGAAAUCCUUUUGAAAGCAAAUCCCUUCAUUCAAAAGCUUUAAAUAUCCUCUAUAAAAGGCAUUAAAACAAAUUAUAAUUAUACUUAAUAAAACGCUUAUGAUCAAAA
rnacentral:lncRNA from 1 species